AAUCAUGAAAAGUUCUUCCCACUCCCUCGACUGAUUCAUCAGAUAUGAGCAGAACAUAAAGAUAGGCUGUUAGGCAUUCUUAAGCUUUUGUUGGGAUACGCACGCUAGAAUCUGAAUCUUUAGGCGCAUAUAAACCAGAGUAAAAAAAACAUCGAACUCCAAAGCUGAACAAUAAAGUGACUACACAAAUUUUACGCAGAAUAAAUUCGUGACACCUUCUAGUUAAGUUAUAAAUAUCAAUAUACAUAUAUAUACGUAUAUAUGUGUAAAACAACAAUAAAAUCCUAUUUGACAGCAGUUCAGAAAGUUGAGGCAGCACCCGUGAACUUAUUAGCGAACCAGGUCUAAAUAUAACCCGAAUGAUUCGAGUCAAUGAUUCAUAUCGAGAUAAACGAAAUUCCCAUCUCUUAUACAUAGCAAACAUGUACAGAAAACAGAAAUGCGGAGAGUAAUGUGUAUAAUAUGGACUCGCAGAUAUUCAAUUAAAAACGUUUACCAUUAAAAUACCAGUUAAUGAAAGCAGCAAAGGAUACAUCAGAUAAUUGGCAAUAAUUAUGAAAUUAAUUAAUUUUAUAAAAAUUGGUUUACUGAACACUUCAACAGAGUGCUCUAGUUCUGCAGCCCUUCUCCUUCUGGCAUACAUUGUAACGUACACUGUAAUGCCAACAAUAAACUUCUUACGUAUA